rnacentral:rRNA from 1 species
GAUGAACGCUGGCGGCGUGCCUAACACAUGCAAGUCGAGCGGGAUUCAUGAGGACGAAACUUCGGUCUAGAAAUCAUGAUGAGAGCGGCGGACGGGUGAGUAACGCGUAGGCAACCUGCCCUUAGCACAGGGAUAGCCUCGGGAAACCGGGAUUAAAACCUGAUAAUGCCAAACAGCCACAUGGCUGUUUGGCCAAAGAUUUAUCGGCUAAGGAUGGGCCUGCGUCUGAUUAGUUAGUUGGUGGGGUGACGGCCUACCAAGACGACGAUCAGUAGCCGACCUGAGAGGGUGAUCGGCCACAUUGGAACUGAGACACGGUCCAAACUCCUACGGGAGGCAGCAGUGGGGAAUAUUGCACAAUGGGCGAAAGCCUGAUGCAGCAACUCCGCGUGAGCGAUGAAGGCCUUUGGGUCGUAAAGCUCUGUCCUAGGGGACGAACAAAAUGACGGUACCCUUGGAGGAAGCCCCGGCUAACUACGUGCCAGCCGCCGCGGUAACAC